UUACCCUUUAGAUGUCUGUCUAUGUCUGUUUUUGUGUGAUAAUGAAAGAAUCCCAACUCAAAAAGGCUCUGUUGAUCUUUUUUUGUUGUUUAUUCAUAUUCAAACCACUAUUUUAUAUCACUGCUAAUACGCCAAGACCAUUUUAUGGUAUUUAGCUUUAUUAUUUCUAUACAUUUUGCAAGGAAAGAAACCAAGGCCUUCACUAAAAUUUCCAUAAACUUUAGGAAAGGACCUCUGGUUGUUUAAGGGGGUCGUUACUGCAAAAACAUAUUCUUCCUAAAUUUUGAAGGUAAAAGCUUAGAUCCAUUAGGUUUAAAUAGAAAAAGCAUUUAAAUAUGUUAGGAUUAUAGCAUAUGACAAAUGUGUGCCUCUCAGUGGCCAUAACUACUUUGUCUGCUGGCUCUGCAGUCGAUUGCCGUUCCCCAGCGUUCAAGUCACAUGACAUAUUUAACCGGAUGUAGCUGCAAGACGGAGCCUCGUUGAUUCUCCUAUCUUAAAAGUGAGGACCUCAAACUAUAUACCAGUUUUUAAAUUGUGUUGAUAGGCCAAAUAAAACCAGAGUUAUGAUAAAUUAUGUCCGCGAUACUUUUUUUCUGCUUAUUUUGAUCACGUUCGGCGCUCGAUCGCGCUGUAUGAGACAGGAAAACAUAGCAUGCAGACAUUAGCGACAGCUCUUACAGGCGGAAAAGACUUGCCAAAAGAAAAGAAAAAAACACACCACAACAUCUCUCCUAUUGGUGGAAAACUUCACCACAACAACCAAUCCAAAAUUAUAUGGUGACUGAUUGACACGGGACGGGCGCUCGUGUUCUUCCUGCAACUUGAGAAGGGAGGGAGGGACUCUCAGCAGGGAUGCAGUCUGGGACACGUAGUUGCAAACCUAGCGACUUUGUUGUUAGAUUCAAUGACUUUUCAGACCCCCUAAUGACUUUUUUUUUGAAAGAAAGGGACUUUUAUCGACUUCUUCUGGAGUUCUGGAGUUUAGAGACUCUGACAUGAAGCAGGCUUUCCUUACUGAGGAGUUAGCAACGCUGCUAAGGGUGCAGAGCCACACAUGCGCUCCGAGCUCUGCAUGGGAGACUGAAGCUGACAGAGCUGCAGCAGUUAGCAGGUUUCACCCUCAGAGACCACCAGGGGUUCAUGUUGAGGCAUUUUCAGUUUUUUUUUUUUUUUUGCCAUAGACACUGUCAGCACAAUCUGCAGUUACACUAACAAAAAUGCUGCAAAAAACAAUGAAUUAUGGAAAAAUUACACAUGGACUAACAUAGAGGAGGAUCUACACAAGUUUUUUACAUCAUGUUUUACAUCAUGCAUCAUUUACAUCAUGUUUUUUUGUAGUGGCAUAAAUAAAAAGUGACAUUUGUGAGACUAUACAGUGUUUUGUAAAUAAUUUUACAAAGAACGCCUGGGCCAUUGCCUGCAUUUUGAUGUAAAUAGAGGUAAAUUACUAUGUUCUUUGUUAAAAAUUUGCAUAUGUUUUGAAGUUUACAAUUUUUAUUUGAAGUUUAAGUUUUAAAAACAGUUCAUCACACAUAUUUGUGGUUUAAUUUCACAUUAAUUUCCAUAUUGUAUAAAUGACUGGAAAAAACUUGAGCCCCUGCCCCUGUAUAAUCAUGUGCACGUCCCUGUUCUAGCUCCAAGGUGAAUCUUCACUGCUCAUGUUCUCCUCAGAAAUAGUCACCUCACUCCCCUCAGGUUACUGUACACAUGCACCAACUAUCUGCUUCAGGUUUGGAUGGAGCUUCAUGGUUGUCUUUUGGAGAAAUGAACAGUCAAGUUGUGUUUGAAAUCUGAUUUUUUUCAGGGGCAAAAGGAAGCCUCUGCAUUCUUGUCAAAUAUGUAAACAGCAUGUUUUUGCAGGUGCUAAAAAACAGACUCUGAGUGUGUGUGUGUGUGUGUGUGUGUGUGUGUGUGUGUGUGUGUGUGUGUGUGUGUGUGUGUGUGUGUGUAUCCUGCAGUACUCUGUACUCCUGCAGUGGCCAAAAAGACUUUUAAGAAUGUGGAUUUUUGGGUCAUCUUUGGCGCCCCCUAGAACUGCAGUACUCUGUACUCCUGCAGUGGCCAAAAUGACUUUUAAGAAUGUGGAUUUUUGUGUCAUCUUUGGCGCCCCCUAGAACGUAAACCGUGGGGUGCAGCGUCAUGAUUUUUACAACUUUGAAUGGGCAUGGGGUGUAGAUUGCCCUGAGCAAAUUUGGUAUCGGUGGGACGAAAGCCUUAGGAGGAGAUAGCCACAUUCCAAUGUGUGCGAAUCGGCAAAAAAUGCGAAAUAGCCCUUUAACCGUACAUUAUACAGAUACGCGCUUUUUGACUUUUUCGUAGAUCUAAUUGAGAUACACAUGAUUGUCAAUUUUUGUGUCAAUAUGACAAAGCGUUCAGGCGUGACACUCAACAAUGUGUAUUUUCAUGUAAGGGGACAAGAAAAAAUUGACUUUUUUCUCCUGCCAUGGGGGGGCGCUCUUUUGGGGAGUAAAAAUUCCUUCACAAAUGUGUUGAUGGCUGGACAUUGCAUCAUCCUAGAAAACUUGGAGGGCAGUGAGGACAAAAAUAAAAAGUUAUAAGACUUUUAAGAAUGUGGAUUUUGGGUUAUCUUUGGCGCCCCCUAGAACGUAAACCGUGGGGUGCAGCGUCAUGAUUUGUACAACUUUUAAUGGCCAUGGGGGGUAGAUUGGCCUGCGCAAAUGUGGUGCCGGUCGAACGAAAGCCUUCGGAGGAGUUAGCGAAAUUCCAAUGUGUGCAGAUCUGCAAAAAAUGCAAAAUAACCCAUUAACCGUACAUUUGACAGAUACGCCCGCACUGACUUUUUUGUAGAUCUUAUUGAGAUACAUGUGUGUGUCAAUUUUUGUGUCAAUAUGACAAAGCGUACAGCCGUCAUGUGAAUUUUCACCUUAGGGGGCGCUAUGGAGCCAUUUUGCAUUUGAUUGUUUGGGCGACUUCAGAAUAUCGAAUUUUUCACCAGGCCCGGUCGUCCUGCCAAAUUUCCUGAGUUUUCGCCAGUGGGAAGUGGGCCAUUUUCCAGUUUAAAGCGGAGGAAAAAUAACUAGGGCCCCGGUGGGGCACUGUCGGGCCCGAGCCGCGUCGCGCCGCCCCCAGCGCGACCGCCUCCCCCUCCCGAUCACGUCACACUCAAGGUCCAAAGAUGGUGUGCGCACUUGUCUGUGGUCAUUUCCCAUUAUAAUGAAUGGGAGGCGCAGUUUCUACCAAAACGCUCGCUGCAGACAAACUACAUGUCCUAUUUGAAAAAAGUCUGGACCAUGAGUGAGGGCACAAACACAGCUAGUAUAUAUCCAAAUGGCAAGUUGCUCCUCCUUUCGGUUUUGCAGAGAGAGCGAUGCGUUUGAGCCAUUGAGCGAUGGGCAGGAAAAACUUGACUUUUUCUCCUGCCAUGGGGGGGCGCUCUUUUGGGGAGUAAAAAUUCCUUCACAAAUGUGUUGAUGGCUGGACAUUGCAUCAUCCUAGAAAACUUGGAGGCCAGUGAGGACAAAAAUAAAAAGUUAUAAGACUUUUAAGAAUGUGGAUUUUUGUGUUAUCUUUGGCGCCCCCUAGAAAGUAAACCGUGGGGUGCAGCAUCAUGAUUUGUACAACUUUUAAUGGCCAUGGGGUGUAGAUUGGCCUGAGCAAAUUUGGUGCCGGUGGAACGAAAGCCUUCGGAGGAGUUAGCGAAAUUCCAAUGUGUGCGGAUCGGCAAAAAAAGCGAAAUAGCCCUUUAACCGUACAUUUGGCAGAUACGCCCGCACUGACUUUUUCGUAGAUCUUAUUGAGAUACACAUGUGUGUCAAAUUUUGUGUCAUUUUGACAAAGCGUACAGGCAUCAGGUGAGUUUUCACCAUAGGGGGCGCUAUGGAGCCAUUUUUCAUUUUUUUGUUUGGACGACUUCAGAAUAUCAAAUUUUUCACCAGGCCCGGUCGUCCUGCCAAAUUUCCUGAGUUUUCGCCAGUGGGAAGUGGGCCAUUUUCCAGUUUAAAGCGGAGGAAAAAUAACGAAAGAAGAAUCCAUCAGGAACAAGAGGGCUCUCGCAGCUGCUUAGCAGCUACGCUCGGGCCCUAACUAGGACCCCGUUGGGGCACUGGCGGGCCCGAGCUGUGUCGCGUCCCCCCCCCAACGCGCUGCCUCCCCGUCCCAUUUGUGUCCUCUGGCCAUCGUCCUCUCUGGUAACGCCCAUCACUGCAAAGACCCUUUUCCUUCAUCGACGUUUGCUGUUCUUCCUGCCAGUGCGUGUUGCUUUCACUUACACUUGCCACAGCCAGCCUCUUGAGUGCCUAGCCUAUUGGAUAUCACUGUCACCUACUCAGGACAGCCAUUACCUUUCUAUUAAUACUUUGUUUUUUAAUUUCACAUUAAUUUCCAUAUUGUAUAAACAACUGGAAAAAACUUGAGCCCCUGCCCCUGUAUAAUCAUGUGCACGUCUCUGUUCUAGCUCUAAGGUGAAUCUUCACUGCUCAUGUUCUCCUCAGAAGCAGUCACCUCACUCCCCUCAGGUUACUGUACACAUGCACCAACUGCCUGCUUCAGGUUUGGAUGGAGCUUCAUGGUUGUCUUUUGGAGAAAUGACCAGUCAAGUUGUGUUUGAAAUUUGAUUUUUUUCAGGGGCAAAAGGAGCCUCUGCAUUCUUGUCAAAUAUGUAAAUAGCAUGUUUUUGCAGGUGCUAAAAACCAGACUCUGAGUGUGUGUGUGUGUGUGUGUGUGUGUGUGUGCGUGUGUGUGUGUCUGUGUGUGCGUUCAAGUCACAUGACAUAUUUAACCGGAUGUAGCUGCAAGACGGAGCCUCGUUGACUCCGUUUCAACUUAUCUCAAAAGUGAGGACCUCAACCUAUAUACCAGUUUUUAAAUUGUGUUGAUAGGCCAAAUAAAACCAGAGUUAUGAUAAAUUAUGUCCGCGAUACUUGUUUUCUGCUUAUUUUGAUCAUGUUCGGCGCUCGAUCGCGCUGUAUGAGACAGGAAAACAUAGCAUGCAGACAUUAGCGACAGGUCUUACAGGCGGAAAAGGCUUGCCAAAGGAAAAAAAAACACACCACAACAUCUCUCCUAUUGGUGGAAAACUUCACCACAACAACCAAUCCAAAAUUAUAUGGUGACUGAUUGACAAGGGGCGGGCGCUUAUGUUCUUCCUGCAAUAUGAGAAGGGAGGGAGGGACUCUCAGCAGGGAUGCAGUCUGGGACACGUAGUUGCAAACCUAGCGACUUUGUUGUUAGAUUCAAUGACUUUUCAGACCCCCUAACGACUUUUUUUUUAGAAAGAAAGUGACUUUUAUCGACUUCUCCUGGAGUUUAGAGACUCUGACAUGAAGCAGGCUUUCCUUACUGAGGAGUUAGCAACGCUGCUAAGGGUGCAGAGCCACACAUGCGCUCCGAGCUCUGCAUGGGAGACUGAAGCUGACAGAGCUGCAGCAGUUAGCAGGUUUCACCCUCAGAGACCACCAGGGGUUCAUGUUGAGGCAUUUUCAGUUUUUUUUUUUUUUUUUGCCAUAGACACUGUCAGCACAAUCUGCAGUUACACUAACAAAAAUGCUGCAAAAAACAAAGAAUUAUGGAAAAAUUACACAUGGACUAACAUAGAGGAGGAUCUACACAAGUUUUUUACAUCAUGUUUUACAUCAUGCAUCAUUUACAUCAUGUUUUUUUGUAGUGGCAUAAAUAAAAAGUGACAUUUGUGAGACUAUACAGUGUUUUGUAAAUAAUUUUACAAAGAACGCCUGGGCCAUUGCCUGCAUUUUGAUGUAAAUAGAGGUAAAUUACUAUGUUCUUUGUUAAAAAUUUGCAUAUGUUUUGAAGUUUACAAUUUUUAUUUGAAGUUUAAGUUUUAAAAACAGUUCAUCACACAUAUUUGUGGUUUAAUUUCACAUUAAUUUCCAUAUUGUAUAAAUGACUGGAAAAAACUUGAGCCCCUGCCCCUGUAUAAUCAUGUGCAUGUCCCUGUUCUAGCUCCAAGGUGAAUCUUCACUGCUCAUGUUCUCCUCAGAAGUAGUCACCUCACUCUCCUCAGGUUACUGUACACAUGCACCAACUAUCUGCUUCAGGUUUAGAUGGAGCUUCAUGGUUGUCUUUUGGAGAAAUGAACAGUCAAGUUGUGUUUGAAAUUUGAUUUUUUUCAGGGGCAAAAGGAAGCCUCUGCAUUCUUGUCAAAUAUGUAAAUAGCAUGUUUUUGCAGGUGCUAAAAAACAGACUCUGAGUGUGUGUGUGUGUGUGUGUGUGUGUGUUGGCGUGUGUGUAUAUGUGUGUGUGUCCGGCAGUACUCUGUACUCCUGCAGUGGCCAAAAAGACUUUUAAGAAUGUGGAUUUUUGGGUCAUCUUUGGCGCCCCCUAGAACUGCAGUACUCUGUACUCCUGCAGUGGCCAAAAUGACUUUUAAGAAUGUGGAUUUUUGGGUCAUCUUUGGCGCCCCCUAGAACGUAAACCGUGGGGUGCAGCGUCAUGAUUUUUACAACUUUGAAUGGCCAUGGGGUGUAGAUUGCCCUGAGCAAAUUUGGUAUCGGUGGGACGAAAGCCUUAGGAGGAGAUAGCCACAUUCCAAUGUGUGCGAAUCUGCAAAAACUGCGAAAUAGCCCUUUAACCAUACAUUUGACAGAUACGUGCCUAUUGACUUUUUUGUAGAUCUUAUUGAGAUACACGUGAUUGUCAAAUUGUGUGUCAAUAUGACAAAGUGUAUAGGCGUGACACUCAACAAUGUGUAUUUUUACCUUAGGAGACAAGAAAAAAUGGACUUUUUUCUCCUGCCAUGGGGGGGCGCUCUUUGGGGGAGUAAAAAUUCCUUCACAAAUGUGUUGAUGGCUGGACAUUGCAUCAUCCUAGAAAACUUGGAGGCCAGUGAGGACAAAAAUAAAAAGUUAUAAGACUUUUAAGAAUGUGGAUUUUUGUGUUAUCUUUGGCGCCCCCUAGAAAGUAAACCGUGGGGUGCAGCAUCAUGAUUUGUACAACUUUUAAUGGCCAUGGGGUGUAGAUUGGCCUGAGCAAAUUUGGUGCCGGUGGAACGAAAGCCUUCGGAGGAGUUAGCGAAAUUCCAAUGUGUGCGGAUCGGCAAAAAAAGCGAAAUAGCCCUUUAACCGUACAUUUGGCAGAUACGCCCGCACUGACUUUUUCGUAGAUCUUAUUGAGAUACACAUGUGUGUCAAAUUUUGUGUCAUUUUGACAAAGCGUACAGGCAUCAGGUGAGUUUUCACCAUAGGGGGCGCUAUGGAGCCAUUUUUCAUUUUUUUGUUUGGACGACUUCAGAAUAUCAAAUUUUUCACCAGGCCCGGUCGUCCUGCCAAAUUUCCUGAGUUUUCGCCAGUGGGAAGUGGGCCAUUUUCCAGUUUAAAGCGGAGGAAAAAUAACGAAAGAAGAAUCCAUCAGGAACAAGAGGGCUCUCGCAGCUGCUUAGCAGCUACGCUCGGGCCCUAACUAGGGCCCCGUUGGGGCACUGGCGGGCCCGAGCUGUGUCGCGCCCCCCCCCCCCCCCCCCCCCAACGCG